AAUUGUUACCGUAAACCUAACUGCUCUUCUUGUACUUACAACAUUGUUUAUCAGUGUUUCAGGAAGCCUCCCUCCAACAGCAUAUGUAAAGAUGAUUGAUGUUUGGUUAAUAUUCUCUCAAUUAAUUCCAUUCUUUGAGGUAUUGUUGCAUACUUUUAUGGACAGCAAGCGUAAUGACGACAAUAGAGAGAUUAACAAUCAUGGAGAAAUAGUGAUUGUGAAUGAAGACAAGAAACCUGAACCUAAGAUGACAAUUGUUGAGAAA